AAGGUGUAUAUCGCCAUUGCUGCGGUUAAAAAGCUCGUAGUUGAACUUCGAACGUGGCUGGGCGGUCCGCCUCACGGUGUGUACUGUCUGGCUGUGUUCUCUUUCUUGGUGAGCCGGCAUGCCCUUUACUGGGUGUGUUGGGGAACCAGGACGUUUACCUUGAGAAAAUUAGAGUGUUCAAAGCAGGCCUACGCCCGGAUACAUUAGCAUGGCAUAAUAAAAUAGGACGUGCGGUUCUAUUUUGUUGGUUUCUAGAGUCGCCGUAAUGAUUAAUAGGGAUAGUUGGGGGCAUUGGUAUUGAGUCGCUAGAGGUGAAAUUCUUGGAUUGACUCAAGACCAACUAUUG
rnacentral:rRNA from 1 species